GCUACACAUGCAGUCGUACGAGAGUUUUUAACUCAAGUGGCGGACGGGUGAGUAACACGUGAGAAUUUACCUUUAGGAGGGGGACAACAAUUGGAAACGAUUGCUAAUACCCCAUAUGCUCUAGAGUGAAACGGAUUUUUCCGCCUAAAGAAAAGCUCGCGGCUGAUUAGCUUGUUGGUAAGGUAAUGGCUUACCAAGGCGACGAUCAGUAUCUGGUUUGAGAGGACGAUCAGACACACUGGAACUGAGACACGGUCCAGACUCCUACGGGAGGCAGCAGUGGGGAAUUUUCCGCAAUGGGCGAAAGCCUGACGGAGCAAUACCGCGUGAGGGAAGACGGCCUAUGGGUUGUAAACCUCUUUUUUCAGGGAGGAACAAAAUGACGUGUACCUGAAGAAUAAGCAUCGGCUAACUCCGUGCCAGCAGCCGCGGUAAGACGGAGGAUGCAAGUGUUAUCCGGAAUCACUGGGCGUAAAGCGUCUGUAGGUGGUUUGUUAAGUCAACUGUUAAAUCUUGAGGCUCAACUUCAAAUCAGCAGUCGAAACUAUCAGACUAGAGUAUAGUAGGGGUAAAGGGAAUUUCCAGUGGAGCGGUGAAAUGCGUAGAUAUUGGAAAGAACACCGAUGGCGAAGGCACUUUACUGGGCUAUUACUAACACUCAGAGACGAAAGCUAGGGUAGCAAAUGGGAUUAGAUACCCCAGUAGUCCUAGCUGUAAACAAUGGAUACUAGAUGUUGAACAGAUCGACCUGUGCAGUAUUAAAGCUAACGCGUUAAGUAUCCCGCCUGGGAAGUAUGCUCGCAAGAGUGA
rnacentral:rRNA from 1 species